rnacentral:rRNA from 1 species
UACGGGGGGUGCGAGCGUUGUCCGGAAUCAUUGGGCGUAAAGAGCGUGUAGGCGGCCAAUUAAGUCCUGCGUGAAAUCUCGGGGCUCAACCCCGAGCGGUCGUGGGAAACUGGUUGGCUAGAGUGCGGGAGAGGAGAGUGGAAUUCCUGGUGUAGCGGUGAAAUGCGCAGAUAUCAGGAAGAACACCCGUGGCGAAGGCGGCUCUCUGGAACGCAACUGACGCUGAGACGCGAAAGCGUGGGGAGCAAACAGG